rnacentral:rRNA from 1 species
UACGUAGGGUGCGAGCGUUAAUCGGAAUUACUGGGCGUAAAGCGUGCGCAGGCGGUUGAUUAAGUCUGAUGUGAAAGCCCCGGGCUCAACCUGGGAAUGGCAUUGGAAACUGGUCAGCUGGAGUGUGGCAGAGGGGGGUGGAAUUCCGCGUGUAGCAGUGAAAUGCGUAGAGAUGCGGAGGAACACCGAUGGCGAAGGCGGCAUCCUGGACCAACACUGACGCUGAGUGAGCGAAAGCCAGGGGAGCAAACGGG